CCGUCAGGUUUACUUUGAAAAAAUUAGAGUGCUCAAAGCAGGCUUUUCACGCUUGAAUAUUCGUGCAUGGAAUAAUGGAAUAGGAACUCGGUUCUAUCUUGUUGGUUUUCGGAAACCGAGUUAAUGAUUAACAGGGACAAUUGGGGGCAUUAGUAUUCAGACGACAGAGGUGAAAUUCUUGGACCGUCUGAAGACUGACUACUGCGAAAGCAUUUGCCAAGAGUGUUUUCAUUAAUCAAGAACGAAAGUUAGAGGUUCGAAGGCGAUCAGAUACCGCCCUAGUUCUAACCAUAAACGAUGCCAGCUAGCGAUCUGCCGAGUUUUUUUUGUAGGCUCCGCAGGAAGCUUUCGGGAAACCAAAGCUUUUGGGUUCCGGGGGAAGUAUGGUUGCAAAGCUGAAACUUAAAGGAAUUGACGGAAGGGCACCACCAGGAGUGGA
rnacentral:rRNA from 1 species